AGCCUCCUCCGUCUGCAGUCAGCCCUGCUCAGUGGUACCUGAAACAGGUUGCCUGUGAGGUGUUCACUUUCUAUACGAUGAAUAUUAUACAGUCAACCUCUUUCCGGUAUCGAAUCCCGCCUUGGACGACUUCUGCUCAGGGCGCCGACUCCGGGGAACGGAAGCUCUCUGCGCGGGUUGACCUAUGGACUUGGUGUAGGACCUUUGCCCCUGGCCUGUUCAUUUUCCAGCUGCUUCUGUUCUGGAGAGCUGCUGAGAGCAACAUGCAGCGGACUCUCCGUCCCCGAGGGCCCUGCUACUGAGGUGCUGGGCGAGGCUUUACCUGCUGAUUCUCAUUUCACAUAGGCACCCCCACCUCUCCGGCCCUGCCCAGACCACCCCACGAUCGCUGGAAACAUGGGAGAAGGGUCCAGGCCCCCGGAAAGGUGAAUUCCAAGAGGGCCUCCUAAGUAUGACCGGGGGAAGUUUGGCAUUUGUUAAUUGCCUCCCGGGCUGCAGAAAGCCCUUUCUGAGCCAGGCUCGCAUCAUCCCAAGGGCUGUGAGAAAACAUCCUUGCCUUCAAACUCUCAGCUCUGUGCAUGCCCUCCUCCCGUGCGCUCCUCCUGGGGUCGGGGGCCCCUCCGUGCCUGGCCCUUGGGGAGGGGUGGCCCCAGCUCCAGGAAAGACGCUAGUGACCAUGCCCGUGGCGUGUCAGGCCGCCAAGAUCCACCUCCUGUUGUUGCCAUCCCCACCCCUCCUCUCCAGCCCAUGAGCCACAGCCCUGCUGGAGGGACCAUCCUUUCUGGCCUGGACCGCUGCCCACGCCCUCACUUGGGUGUUCUUCCAGUCCCCCUCCUCUUUCUGCCAGGGAGAACCUUCCAGAGUGCAGUCUGGCUCUCUACCCUGCCCAGAGCCCCUCUGUGGCUCCCCUGCCCUCAUGCUUGGCUCCAAAACAGAAGCUAGUGACUCAAGCACAACCCCCCUAUUCCUUGCUGCUUUUACCAUGUGCCACUCCCCCACCCCCUCCCCACUUUAUAUCCAUCCAUUCUCCUGCUGGGAGCUGAGUCCUGGGUGGCCUCCUCUCUGCAGCCGGCCCUCAGCGCCCACCCUCCAUCCAGGGUGCUGGGCUUCCUUACUCCUUUCUUGGGACAUGCAGCAGAAUCUCUUGCUCACGGCUUCCCCCUGCCUCCACCAGUAAUUGUCCCCUUUUUAGAGCUGGGAUUUGAGAUUAUGGAGGCAAUGAAAUGUCUCUUGCUCAGCAAGCCUGUCCCUGAUCACCCAGCCUAGCCCCUACCUCUUCCCAGCCACUUUGUCUCAUUCUAGCUUAUCCAAAAAUCCAUAUUAAUAUUUACUUUCUCUCUCCCCCCAUAGACUCUUAGAUUUCUCAGGGCAGGAAUUUUUUUCGGUCCUGUUCCCUGCUGUGCCCCUAGCCCAGGAGUCCAGGCCAGGUUCAUAGCAAAAGAAUGGUGAGUGUUUGUUGAUUGACUAAUGGACUCCCUAAGGGCUGGGACCUUAUCAAGUUAAUCCCCAGGAAAGUGCCAAGCACAAAGGAGGCACUCAAGAAGAUGUGGUGAUGAGCACAUGAAUAUGGUAAUUGGUUUUUAGAAUUUCUUCACAUUUGUUAAAAGCUGUUUGAUUUUUCCUUUUCUUUUCUGCCCCUUCCAGGAUGUCUUUUGAGAGUCUGAGGUUUGCUUCUGAGGCUGGGCUUUUCUCUCCACUUUCCAGGGGUCCCCCAAGGCCCUGAAAGAAGUGACAAGCCCCAGUAUAACCCUACAGACCCCAGUUGAGCCCCUCCCCCACCUUCUAGCAAACUCCAUAGCUCUCAGAAACAGGUGCUCUGGGGAACUCCACCUGCAACAGGCUGGAACGUGGUGUCAGGGCUAAUAUUUUAUGCAUGGAACUCAGUAAAUGGGGACAUUUGGAGAUGAAAAUUGCUGUUAAUGCAUCCACACAUCUUUGGAAUACAUUAAAUGUGUGUGGGGGGCGGGGGGGAGGCAACAUUAGCCUUAUUUAAUAGCUCCAAUGUAACCAUCCCCACACCACAGCACAUCAUUAAGGAGCACAGGCACCCCAACCCCCGUCUCCCAGGCUGCCACACGGGAGAAGCACUGGGUACAUUGCUGCCACUUGAGAAUUAUGCAUGAGACAAAAUGUCAGCCUAGGGUGCCAGGCACCGGGCAGCGUGCAUGUUCCAAACUCAUUUUCGACCCAAAGAUGGUGACCCUGUGCUGCUUGGUGCAGAAUUUCAUUAAAAGCCAAAUUACUGGUUUAUCUAUUGUUUGAAGAGAAGAGAAAAUAAACAAAGGGCCUUUUUCAUCUGACCAACAGAAUGAAAAUGUCUGUCCCUGCAGCAGCCCGGAGGAAAGUCACUGUGGACGCUUGAGCCAGAGGGUCAGUGACUGGGGGCCAUCGCCCAGGGGCCGCUUAGGUAAACCAGCCACAGGUUCAAACUCAGGGGUGCCCCUUGUUUUCCGGUGCCUGUGGGGGCAAGAGCCCUGGCUCCCCAAAUGCUCUUUGCACGAUGGGGUUGGCUCGCUUUUCCCAACACUCAGUUUGCCGUCCUUUUCCUGGUUUUUCCCUGCAUCCACCUGGCACCUCCAAUUAGGUGCCAUGACUCCCGGAAUAGAGUGUCUUCAGUCGGGGACAGUGCCCACGGCCCCUGGCCUGGAGAGUGGCCUGCUUGCUCUGUCAGAAGAGCCAGCCGCCUCCCACCCAGCCCCAGGGUCCCCCUCCUCUCUGCUCCCCCCACCCUUCCGUGUACCACCGAGCACAGAGACAAUGGCUUGUGCAGUCCUGGGGCCUCAUGGGCCCUCAAGGAUGUAAAGACCCCCCCAAAUGGCAGGGCUGAGUUUAUUCCUCUCCUGUCCCAACCCUCUGCGCACACCGUCACACAGGCGAGAAGUCUGAGGGCUGAGGGGAGAGUGCUUUGUCCUGGCUUUUUUCCUAAGGGGUAUCUGAAGCUUUGGGAUCAAGACCCACCUGUGGCAAGUGAGCAGUUUCCUUCAUGGUAACAACAGAGUGACCCAGCAACCCAGGGCCGUGAGAGCGCCAAGGGCGACUCAAAACCUCUUUUCUCAGGGGGCAGGGGGUGGGGCCUGAUGCUGCUACCCUGCCACAGAGCUUCCAGAAGCCAGGGCCUCAUGCUGCAGUGCCAGUUCAUAGUAGGUGCUCAGCUAAUGCCUGGAUCAAAGCUGGUCUCAGACCCCAGCGCAGAGUAGGCAUUCGACACGGGAGGGUAUUGAAUCAGGUCUUUACUGCCAGGCGGACACACACAGGAGGCGCUGGAAGGACGUUUGCAGAAUGAAUAAAUAAACGUGUGCUCUUUGAGGGGAUAAAGCAGCAGAGAAACUAAGAAGAAUCCAGGGAAGCUGGACAUAAAUCUCCACCAAAUGCCACCAAGGCUCCGCAGCCGAGGCCCCUGAAAAGACCCCGUGGAGGCUGCAGGCCAUUCGUCACGGCGGGGACGGGCUGGAGGGCCAGGAAGCAAGGGCUUGAUGGAGCGGCGUUCUUCAUUUUCGCAUCAUCCCGGCGGCAGUGGAGGGCGGCCCACGCGUGUGCAGCCUCGCCGCCUGCCUGGCGGACUGAGUGCCGGGCUGGGGGUGGGGAAGGACCCGAGGAAGGGCAGGCACUCGUCUCAGAGCUUCCCCUCGUGCCCUUGGUGCCGUAGUUGCUGUGUUCAUACCUCUGAGUCCCUCCUGCCAUUCGUUCCAGAUGCACCUGUACCUGUAAUGCCUGCCCCUCCUCCUCCAGGGCUCUGCUCCAGUGCCCAUUCCUACAGGAAGCCCUCCCUGAUCCACCCUCCACACAGAACCUCAGCUUGCAGUCCACUCUCCGUUCUCUGAUGCUUUGAUUAGCAGGGGCCAGACUGCCCUGUCCGGAUCGCAUCUCCUGUUUUUCCGGACGGCACAGUGGUCCCUGCUGUCGGACAAUGCUAAGGGCACCCUGCCCUGCCUCACCCAGGAAGCCGGGGUAGGCCUCUGCACCCCUCCGCUCCACGGUUUGAAGGACGCAUACGGAGUACCAGGGGGCGAAUCCCACAGCCGGAGCGACCAGCCUUCGAGUGGCCUGUGGGGAGGGACUGUGUGGACCCUUGGAGAUGAACCCAAAGCCAAUGCCCUUGCUUCUCCCGCCAGACAGCGGCGCUGGGAGGUGAAAACGCUGCUCAGAAGCACCUAGGAAUUCCUGCUGUUCCUUUUCAAACAUGUUGAAUGUUGUCAGGCUCUUUGAGUAAUAAAGACAUUAUAAAAAUUUAA